rnacentral:miRNA from 1 species
AUAAGCACCGGUGCUUAAGAA